rnacentral:pre_miRNA from 1 species
AGUAAGAUAGCUGGGUCAAAGGUGGUUCCAUUCUAAGUUUUUAAAGGAAUCUCCAUACUAUUUUCCAGAUUGAUUGAAUCAGUUUGCAGUCCCACCAGCAAU